rnacentral:rRNA from 1 species
GACGAACGCUGGCGGCGUGCCUAAUACAUGCAAGUAGAACGCAGUUGCGCACGCGUGCGUAACGCGUAGGUAACUUCCUUAUAGCGGGGGAUCACUUUUGGAAACGAUAGCUAAUACCGCAUACUGUGAGAUGGACCUGCGUUGUUUUCGCUAGGUGGUGAGGUACAGGCUCACUAAGGCGACGAUACAUAGCCGACCUGAGAGGGUGAUCGGCCACACUGGGGCUGAGACACGGCCCAGGCUCCGACGGGAGGCAGCAGUAGGGAAUCGUCGGCAAUGGACGGCAGUCUGACCGAGCAAAGCCGCGUGAGUGAAGAAGGUUUUCGGAUCGUAAAGCUCUGUUGGUAGAGGAGCGGUAACUAACCAGAAAGGGACGGCUAACUACGUGCCAGCAGCCGCGGUAAUUC